rnacentral:tRNA from 1 species
GCCUGGGUAGCUCAGUCGGUAGAGCAUGUGACUCUUGAUCUCAGGGUUGUGGGUUUGAGCCCCACACAGGUG